UACGGAGGGUGUAAGCGUUGUCCGGAUUUAUUGGGUUUAAAGGGUGCGUAGGUGGCCUUGUAAGUCCGUGGUGAAAGCCUCUCGCUUAACGAGAGAACUGCCAUGGAUACUGCAAGGCUUGAGUCCAGACGAGGUUGGCGGAAUGGAUGGUGUAGCGGUGAAAUGCAUAGAUACCAUCCAGAACCCCGAUUGCGUAGGCAGCUGACUAGGCUGGUACUGACACUUAGGCACGGAAAGCGUGGGGAGCCGAACAGG
rnacentral:rRNA from 1 species